GCAUUAGGGGCACAGGGAGGAGUCUGACCUCUCCCUGCCCUGCAGCCGCUCCCAGGGAGUGGAGAAAGAACUGUGGGAGGCCAGCCCUCCCCACACUGCUGUGGGUGGAACCUGUGUCGGAGCCCAGACCAAGGUCCCUGCAGAUCCUGAGUGGGGAUCAGGUGAUGCCCUGGAUUCUGAUGGAGCAGCUGGCUGGAUGGUGAUGCCACACAGAGGUGAGGAACGCCAGGAAGGACGUGGGACAAGGCAAGGAACCAUUAAAAGAUACAAAAACUAUAACAAAGACCUUACAGAAGAAGAACGGGACAAGAAUGGGGAAGUUUUGCUCCACCAGAUAUCAAGACUUGCUAAAACUAAGUAUGGUAAAAUAACUAAAACUUUAGCAAUUAAAGACUGUGAGGUAUUGAUACAGGGACUGAUAUAAGACAGCUAUGGCACUGCUGAUCAAUAAAUGAUGCUAAGAUAGUUGCUUAUCUAUAUUAAAAUAAAAACCCGACCUCAUACUCUACACAAAAAUAAACUGCAGAUUAAUUUAAAAAUAUUUGUGAAAAGUAAUAUUUUGAGUUCUUAGAAAAACAUAGAAGCAUCUCUUAUGAGGGUGGAAUAAAAAAUGAUUUUUUAAAAGCAGACAACAAAAGCACAGGGUAUAAAGAAAAAUGGUGGACAAAUUUGAUAACAUUAAGAUGAAGAACCUCUGUUGAUCAAAAGACAUCAUAAGCCUAGGCAGCAAAGUGAGACUCAUCUCUACAAAAAAUUGCAUAAAAUUAGCCAGGCACAGUGAUACACACCUGUGGACCUAGCUACUUGGUAGAGAGAGGCAAGAGAAUUGCUUGAGCCCUGGAGAUCAAGACUGCAGUGAGCUAUGAUUGCACCACUGCAAUCUAGCCUGGGUGGCAGGGAGACUCCUUGUCUCUUAAAAAACAAAAAAUAGAUCGGUGAUCUAAAAUGGCCAAAUAGGAACAGCUCUGGAGUGCAGUUCCCAGAGAGAACGCAGAGGGUGAGUGAUCACCACAUUUCCAAAUGAGUUUUUACUGCCCACAGACCAGAAGAUUCCCAGGCUGAA
rnacentral:lncRNA from 1 species